AACGAACGCUGGCGGCAGGCUUAACACAUGCAAGUCGAGCGCGUAGCAAUACGAGCGGCAGACGGGUGAGUAACGCGUGGGAACGUACCCUUUUCUACGGAAUAACCCAGGGAAACUUGGACUAAUACCGUAUACGCCCUUCGGGGGAAAGAUUUAUCGGAGAAGGAUCGGCCCGCGUUGGAUUAGCUAGUUGGUGGGGUAAAGGCCUACCAAGGCGACGAUCCAUAGCUGGUCUGAGAGGAUGAUCAGCCACAUUGGGACUGAGACACGGCCCAAACUCCUACGGGAGGCAGCAGUGGGGAAUAUUGGACAAUGGGCGCAAGCCUGAUCCAGCCAUGCCGCGUGAGUGAUGAAGGCCUUAGGGUUGUAAAGCUCUCUCACCGGGGAAGAUAAUGACGGUACCCGGAGAAGAAGCCCCGGCUAACUUCGUGCCAGCAGCCGCCGUAA
rnacentral:rRNA from 1 species